UCCCGCGUCACAGAGCCAGCACCCGCCCCGGCUCCCGAGCUCUCUCCCCGCGGGGUCCCGGGGACCGUCCCACCCUGACUCCCUGGGCCGCGCGAGGGUUGCCCGCUCUGGGUAGAGCGUCCCCGCUCCGGGUAUCCGGGAGGCAGGGGGGCGGCGCUGCUGGAGGAGGCGGGGAGGGGAAGGGGGCCGCAGGGCUGGCCAGCUACCGACACAGCGCACCGUGCUGGGGGCUUGGCAUCCGCUCGUUCACAAGCCUGGCUCGAAAGGGGGCAGAAAGGAAUUCUUGCCUUCUGGAAAGAGUGGUGUCAUUGAGAAAUUCCCCAGCUGGGCACCGGCUUCCCUUUUACUUCUUGCUAGAGCCUCUGCCCCUUCCAAACUUUUGUUUGCCUCUGCCCUUGGUCUCUCUCCCCCAAUGUGUGGAUUCCUGUUCCCGGUACCAGCUGGGCAAAGAUCUCUGAGGGCUGCAUAGACGGCCAGGGGACGACAGCCAGUGGGGCAGGUGCUGCUUUUAUCCCGUCUGGAGAGAUGAGGAAACCUCCCCAAGAGGCCAGACACUUCCAGAGGAGGCCAGCCAAGGAUUCCACCCUCAGCAGGAAAUGAGCAUCAGACGCUGGUUGGGGGUGUUCCCGCCAGCUGCUGUCCCAGUGGCCACCUCCCUGAGGGAUGGGUAGGGGAGAGCAGGCCAGCUCCACCCGGAAGAGAGGGGUGGACAGCAGGCAGAGCAGAGUGGCAUCAGACCCCUCCAGCCUAGCCCGGAAGUCAGGUGUAUCAGCCCCCGGCCAGCAGUAGCGGUCAGCUCCUCACCGGCAGCCCAGGGCUCAGAAGCCCAGGACAAAGUGAGUUGGCCUCCCUUCCCUCUGCUCAGAAAUGACAGCUGGUUGGUUUUUAAAGUUGUGAUGAAGCACGCAUAACGUAAUUUCCCAUUUUGACCAUCUUAAGUAUACAGUUGGGUGGUGUGUACAUUAUUACGCAAUAUUAUUAUUACUUCACCACCAUCCCUCUCCAGAACAUUUUUCACCUUGCAAGAAUGAAAUUCUGUACUUAUUAAACGUUAACUCCCCGUUUCUUCUUCCCCGAGCCCCUGGCAAUCACUGUUCCACUUUCUCUUUGUAAACUGGACUAUUCCAAGCACCUCAUAGAAGUGGAAUCAUAACAGCAUUACUCCUUUUGUAACUGGCUUAUGUCACUCAGCACGAUGCCCCCAAGGGUCACCCAUGUUGUAGCUGGGUCAGACUCUCCUUCCCUUUUCCAACUGAAUAUUUCAUUGUUUAUGCAACACGGCCUGUCGGUGGACGCUUGGAUUGCUGCUACCCUGUGGCCGUCGUGAGUGAGGCUGCUUUGAACGUGGGUGUGCAAAUACCUGUUUGAGACCCUGCUUUCAACUCUGAGGGUGACACGUGGCUCCAUCCCUCAGGCCUCAGUCUUCCCUCCUGGAAGCGGAGGGGACACACGCUCAGGAGGUUGCCAGGAAAGGCUUACGA